UACGUAGGUGGCAAGCGUUGUCCGGAUUUAUUGGGCGUAAAGAGCGCGCAGGCGGUCUGUCAAGUCCGAGGUGAAAUCUCCCGGCUCAACUGGGAGGGGUCUUCGGAUACUGGCAGACUUGAGGAGAGCAGAGGUGAGUGGAAUUCUCGGUGUAGUGGUGAAAUGCGUAGAUAUCGAGAGGAACACCAGCGGCGAAGGCGGCUCACUGGGCUCCACCUGACGCUGAGGCGCGAAAGCGUGGGGAGCGAACCGG
rnacentral:rRNA from 1 species